AGUGAACGCUGGCGGCGUGCUUAAUACAUGCAAGUCGAACGAUGAAGUCCUAGCUUGCUCGGAUGGAUUAGUGGCGCACGGGUGAGUAAUAUAUAGUUAAUCUGCCUUGCACUGAGGAACAACAGUUGGAAACGAUUGCUAAUACCUCAUACUCCAACUUUACAUAAGUUAAGUUGGGAAAGUCUUUUCGGUGCAAGAUGAGACUAUAUCGUAUCAGCUAGUUGGUAAGGUAAUGGCUUACCAAGGCUAUGACGCGUAACUGGUCUGAGAGGAUGAUCAGUCACAUUGGAACUGAGACACGGUCCAAACUCCUACGGGAGGCAGCAGUAAGGAAUAUUGUGCAAUGGGGGAAACCCUGACGCAGCAACGCCGCGUGGAGGAUGACACUUUUCGGAGCGUAAACUCCUUUUGUUAGGGAAGAAUAAUGACGGUACCUAACGAAUAAGCACCGGCUAACUCCGU
rnacentral:rRNA from 1 species